rnacentral:rRNA from 1 species
AUGUUGACUAACCCUGUUAAUAGCCUUCAUGAGCCUUGUGAUGAUGCAUCAAACAACAGUGGAAAAAUCAUAGCAAAUGGAGAAGAAAAUGGAGAGGCAGAUCCAUAUUUCAUGUGUCCUAACCUGGGGAGCAAAUCCUCCUCGGGAUCGGGUCAGGAGUUGCUGCGGUGCAGCCGAUCUGCUUCGGGAUCAGCACCCUGCAGCGAAUCUGCCAGGACAGCCCCGGUAGGCGCAGGUACCUUGGCGGGCUGCAGCACCCCCCCUCGCGCGCGCCAAUCGCCGCCCAAUAGAUGGCAGGUCGGCCCUGGCCCGGGCCACGCGCGGCUUGAGGCCCAACCGCGGGUGUACAAGCGGCGGAUCGCAACUCGCCAGACGGGUGCAGGAAUAGAUCCUGUCGACGGCAUGGGAUCGGGGGAGGAUCAGCGAGAUGUAGACUUGGGAUCCUCUACGCCGGAGCUCUCUGUAGUGGCUCCUGCUACUACUCCGUGUUGCACACGGCUACAUCAAGGGGUAAUUAAACCUAUUGAUUAUAAACAUAUUACAAAAUAUGGGCUGGUAUGUUCAACAGGUGAGCCAAGAGAACCCAACACUCUCGAAGAGGCUCUUCGUGAUGCAAGUUGGAGAAAGGCAAUGCACGAUGAAAUCAUGGCACUUCAGAAAAACAAAACAUGGCACUUGGGUCCCCCAUGA